UGAUCCUGGCUCAGAACGUACGCUGGCGGCACGCCUAACACAUGCAAGUCGAACGAAGUAGCAAUACUUAGUGGCAGACGGGUGAGUAACAUGUGGGUAUCUGCCCUUUGGCCUGGAAUAACACGAGGAAACUUGUGCUAAUACCGGAUAAGUCUUUACGGAGAAAGCUUUAUGCACCAUUGGAUGAGCCUGCACUUGAUUAGUUUGUUGGUGGGGUAAUGGCCUACCAAGACUGUGAUCAAUAGCUGAUUUGAGAGGAUGAUCAGCCACAUUGGGACUGAGACACGGCCCAAACUCCUACGGGAGGCAGCAGUGGGGAAUCUUGCACAAUGGAGGAAACUCUGAUGCAGCGAUGCCGCGUGAGUGAAGAAGGCCUUUGGGUUGUAAAGCUCUUUCGUCGGGGAAGAAAAUGACUGUACCCGAAUAAGAAGGUCCGGCUAACUUCGUGCCAGCAGCCGCGGUAAUACGAAGGGACCUAGCGUAGUUCGGAAUUACUGGGCUUAAAGAGUUCGUAGGUGGUUGAAAAAGUUAGUGGUGAAAUCCCAGAGCUUAACUCUGGAACUGCCAUUAAAACUUUUCAGCUAGAGUAUGAUAGAGGAAAGCAGAAUUUCUAGUGUAGAGGUGAAAUUCGUAGAUAUUAGAAAGAAUACCAAUUGCGAAGGCAGCUUUCUGGAUCAUUACUGACACUGAGGAACGAAAGCAUGGGUAGCGAAGAGGAUUAGAUACCCUCGUAGU
rnacentral:rRNA from 1 species